rnacentral:misc_RNA from 1 species
ACCUAUCGGCAAAAAACACAAGCAGUUGUACUAACAUCAAACAGAUUUUUUUUUUUUUUUU